rnacentral:lncRNA from 13 species
AUGCCCUGGGCGCACUCUGCCUCUACCCCGAUGGCUUCAGGCUCAUUUGGUCUUUGGACUGUCCAUGCCCUAACCUCUCUUUCCCUCCACUGGGCAGUCUUCCCUGGGCACACAUUAGGCCCCGCUCCAGCUGGUGGUGGGACCAGUGCUUGUGGAGGAAGGACACAAGCCCCCCCCACUCAGCCCCUCCCUCUGCGAGAAGCACCACCUGCCAGGCGCACUUGGCCUCUGCAGGUGAAACAGGUGCCUCCCCGGCACACAGCAGGCAGAAUCUGCAGGCCCAGUGCAAAAGCAUGCGGGCCCCGUGUUCAAAAUGUAUGGAGGGUGCAAAAGGAGAGUUCAGGCCCCACGUUCAAAACGUGUGGAGGGUGCAAAAGGAGCGUGCGGGCCCCGUGUUCAAAACGUGUGGAGGGUGCAAAAGGAGCGUGCGGGCCCCAUGUUCAAAAUGUAUGGAGGGUGCAAAAGGGGCGUGCGGGCCCUGUGUUCAAAACGUGUGGAGGGUGCAAAAGGAGCGUGCGGGCCCCAUGUUCAAAAUGUAUGGAGGGUGCAAAAGGGGUGUGCGGGCCCCGUGUUCAAAACGUAUGGAGGGUGCAAAAGGAGCAUGCGGGCCCCGUGUUCAAAAUGAGUGGAGGGUGCAAAAGGGGCGUGCGGGCCCUGUGUUCAAAACAUGUGGAGGGUGCAAAAGGGGCGUGCGGGCCCCGUGCUCAAAACGUAUGGAGGUCAUCAGGACAGCAACAACAGACGCUGGAACCAAGGAGGGGCUUGCACAGGCCCGAGGGGCGAAGGCCGCGUGGGCCCAGCUCACCACCUGCGGGAAGCCUGACUUCUUCAGGAGUGAGCUACCCACCAGCCCCUUCCCGAAGUCUCCAGGCCAGGCUGCCAUCAUACGCUGCACUUGCAGGAGCCUGCAUGUCCCUCCUUCAGCCCGAGUGGGACCAAGGGGAGCUGCCUCUGAACGCACCUGCGACCCCGUCAGUCUGCAAGGAGACUUCUGGAAACAUGUGUUCCAGGAAGCAAGUCCCGCCCCCCAGACCCUGCCCAGAUCCCUCUUGCUGCAUCGAGGCCUCCGCUCCGUGCCAGUGGCAGAUGGCACAUCCUCAUCCCUCCUGUAGUGCCCAGGCACCCAUGAAGGAUCGGAGACCUUCCUGGCCUCCCCAGCUCAGCCCAAAUCCACCUCCCACCCACCGCUGA